rnacentral:lncRNA from 1 species
CUGGCCUCAAGCAACCCUCCUGCUUCAGCCACCCAAAGCACUAGGAUUACAGGUGUGAGCCACUGUGCCUGGUGAAUUUUGCCUGAGUGUUCAGCAGCACGGGGGGCCCACUGCUUGGUCUACACCCAAAAGAAAGGGAAUCCCUGUUUGGAGGGAUGUCUGCACCCCGGGCUCAUGGCAGCACUGUUCACCACAGUCAAGGCGUGGAAGCAAUCUAAGUUCCAUCAACAGAUGAAUGGAUAAAGAAGAAUAUAUAAUACACAAUGGAGUACUCUUCAGCCAUAAAAGAAGAAAGACAUUCUGUCAUUUGUGACAAUGUGAGUGAACCUGGGAGAUAUCAUAUUAAGUGAAAUAAGCUAGGCACAGAAAGACAAAUACCAUGUGAUCUCACUUAUAUGCAGAAACUAAAAAAAUUGAAUUCAUAGAAGCAGAGGGUAAAAUGGGUAAAAUGAUGGCUACUAGGGACUGGGGGAGGGAGACGUUGGUCAAAGGGCAUACAAUUUCAGUUAGACAGGAGGAGUGAUCAAGAGGUCUAUUGUGCAACAUGAUGAUUAUAGUUAAUGAAUUAUAUACUCGAAAAUUGCCAAGAGAGUAGAUUUUAAGUGCUCUUACCACAAAAACGUAAGUAUUUGAGGGAGUGGAUAUGUUAAUUAGCUUAGCAUAGCCAUUAUACAACAUAUAUGUAUUUCAAAACACGUUGAAUGCAAUAAAUUAUACAAUUUUUGUUUGUCAAUUAAAAAAUAAAUAAAUUUAAAAAGUGAAAAUGAAACCCAAGUGCUCUUGUAUUGAGAGCAUUGGGUGGAGGUAGCACUGGAAAAGAGAAAAUAAAGUGCAGACUGGCCCUGAGGGGCCCUUUCUGGGGGAGCAUAGCCCCAAUCCAUUUUUUUUUGUCCUGGGACGGCAGAACUCCCUGGCAGGAACGCCUUGCUUUCCUGUGCAUUCCACAAGCUCUGACAAUCAUCUGAUAAGCACCAAGCCUUUCACUGAAACGGGGAUACUAGGACAGGGCACUAUGAGCUUCCUGACCCUCAGGAGCUCACUGUCUGCUCGGUGGGAGAGUGGGAGGGUGAGGAGGGCCGAUGCCCGCAGAGAGCAGGGUCAGAUAGACAAUUCUGGGCUGGCUCCCUCUGUUCUUUAGAGGGGGCCGUGCCAAGCCUGCCAACUUGGGCUGCAGGGCGUUGUCAGGGAAAACUUCCUGGAGAAGUUGGCCCCGGGGUCAGGCCUGAGGAACAAAGACGAGCUAGAGAGGGAGUGGAGAGGACUGGGGAGUGGAAGCAGUAACGGAGGCCCGCGGGGUCCCCAAGGGCUGGGCGCAGGCAGUCAGCAGGA